UACGUAGGGGGCAAGCGUUGUCCGGAUUUACUGGGUGUAAAGGGUGCGUAGGCGGCUUUGCAAGUCAGAAGUGAAAUCCAUGGGCUUAACCCAUGAACUGCUUUUGAAACUGCAAGGCUUGAGUGAAGUAGAGGCAGGCGGAAUUCCCGGUGUAGCGGUAAAAUGCGUAGAGAUCGGGAGGAACACCAGUGGCGAAGGCGGCCUGCUGGGCUUUAACUGACGCUGAGGCACGAAAGCAUGGGUAGCAAACAGG
rnacentral:rRNA from 1 species